rnacentral:rRNA from 1 species
AUACGGAGGAUCCGAGCGUUAUCCGGAUUUAUUGGGUUUAAAGGGUGCGCAGGCGGCCAUUUAAGUCAGCGGUUAAAUCGUGGGGCUCAACCCCAUUCUGCCGUUGAUACUGGGUGGCUUGAUUGCGGUCGAGGUUGGCGGAAUUCGUUGUGUAGCGGUGAAAUGCAUAGAUAUGACGAAGAACACCGAUUGCGUAGGCAGCUGACCAGACCGCAAAUGACGCUCAUGCACGAAAGUGCGGGGAUCGAACAGGAUUAGAUACCCUGGUAGUCCACGCAGUAAACGAUGAUGACUAACCGUCGGUCAAGACUGAUCGGUGGCCAAGCGAAAGCGAUAAGUCAUCCACCUGGGGAGUACGACCGCAAGGUUGAAACUCAAAUGAAUUGACGGGG